CUCAGAGCUGCACAACACAAUCUUCUUAAAGUCCAGCUCCUGCUCCUUCGUUAUUAGCAAAGGUUUCCUUCAUUCUGCAAUCAGGCUGAAUUUCGACCAUCUGCUCCCUUGGGCACAGAGCUCUUUGCAAGGACCAGGACCAGAGUGUGUGAAUCCAUGGAGAAAUGAACAGUUGGACUCUACCAUCUUUAGGCUGAUACAGACCAGUAAAGGGCAAAUCCUGAGUUCUUCG